rnacentral:rRNA from 1 species
UACGGGGGGGGCAAGCGUUGUUCGGAAUUACUGGGCGUAAAGGGCGCGUAGGCGGCCUGCUAAGUCGGAUGUGAAAUCCCUCGGCUCAACCGAGGAACUGCAUCCGAUACUGGCGGGCUUGAAUCCGGGAGAGGGAUGUGGAAUUCCAGGUGUAGCGGUGAAAUGCGUAGAUAUCGGGAGGAACACCAGUGGCGAAGGCGACUUCCUGGCCUGUUCUUGACGCUGAGGCGCGAAAGCGUGGGGAGCAAACGGG